GACGAACGCUGGCGGCGUGCUUAACACAUGCAAGUCGAACGCUGAAGCUCAGCUUGCUGGGUGGAUGAGUGGCGAACGGGUGAGUAACACGUGAGUAACCUGCCCUCUUCUUUGGGAUAACGCCCGGAAACGGGUGCUAAUACUGGAUAUUCACUGAUUCUCGCAUGGGGGUUGGUGGAAAGGUUUUUUCUGGUGGGGGAUGGGCUCGCGGCCUAUCAGCUUGUUGGUGGGGUGAUGGCCUACCAAGGCUUUGACGGGUAGCCGGCCUGAGAGGGUGACCGGUCACAUUGGGACUGAGAUACGGCCCAGACUCAUACGGGAGGCAGCAGUGGGGAAUAGUGCACAAUGGGCGAAAGCCUGAUGCAGCGACGCCGCGUGAGGGAUGGAGGCCUGCGGGUUGUAAACCUCUUUCGCUCAUGGUCAAGCCGCAGCUUUGGGUUGUGGUGAGGGUAGUGGGUAAAGAAGCGCCGGCUAACUACGUG
rnacentral:rRNA from 1 species